ACUAUUUUGGCAGAUUAGUGCUAUAAAUUUAGAAUUUAUAUAAGGAAUGAAUUUCCAAAUAGUA
rnacentral:tRNA from 1 species